UACAGAGGUGGCAAGCGUUGUUCGGAAUUACUGGGCGUAAAGGGCGCGUAGGCGGCCUACUAAGUCAGACGUGAAAUCCCCCGGCUUAACCUGGGAACUGCGUCUGAUACUGGAAGGCUUGAGGAUGGGAGAGGAAUGUAGAAUUCCAGGUGUAGCGGUGAAAUGCGUAGAUAUCUGGAGGAAUACCGGUGGCGAAGGCGGCAUCCUGGACCAUUACUGACGCUGAGGCGCGAAAGCUAGGGGAGCAAACGGG
rnacentral:rRNA from 1 species